rnacentral:lncRNA from 1 species
CGGCGGCCACGAGAGGGCACCCACGGGCGGCUGCGGUUGGGUUGUGUGCUGGGGGACCCCCAGCUCUGAGCCCACAGCAGAGCCGGCUCAUGGGGCUGACCACUGCCCUGCAUUGCAAGCUGCACGUUGGGCUCUGCCAAAGGAAAGCUCUUUCCCCCAAAGCAGCACUGUGUGAUGCGUUUGCUGGAAAGAGUUUAAAUGUGAAUGGGGGAAAAAAAGAGGAAAGGACUUCUACCCUUCCAAAAGGACAGAAAAUGGGUGUGAGGUGGUGUGGCUGAAAGCAGAGUGGUUUCUUUCUGUGGGAGCCCCAGUGGGGGAUGCUGAGGAUGCUCCCCACGCAGCAUCGUCCCGAGGGCUGCCUGAAAUCAGAGCUCUGCCAGCAGUGUGAGAGCUCUGCUCUGUGCAGGUAACACUGGGGCUGGCAGUGUUCAUAUUGAGCUCAUAACGGAGAUAAGGCAUCUGUGCUCCCAGAGGAGUGCCCUCAGCGCCUCCAGCAGCUGUGCUGUUAUGAAGAUAGCUGAAAUCGUUUGGCUGUCACAGAUGCAAAUCCCAGCCUCCCAUCCGUGCCAGGAAUUUGAGCUGCAAUCCCAAGAGGGCAGCAGGCUCCAGGCACGCAGGCCUCCCCGCUCUCAUCGCCCAGCAUCGGAAAUGCUCUUUAAGGCCAGACUGGAGGAGGCACAGCUCACAGCCGGGAUAACGCCUGCUGGCUUCCCCAGCCCCAUUUCUGGGGGUGGGCUGUGCCCGUUGAUUGCAGCUGGCUCUGUCUGCAGCUCCAGCAGUGGCAGAGGUGCCCGCUGCAGCCCCGGCCGCUGUGUGUGUGCAGCUCAGCCCUCGGGCACAGCUGCACCUGCAGUGCUGUGCAGCAGUGGAGGAUUGCAGCUCUGGGUGCGAUUUGCAAAAGUGAAACUCUCACAAUGGGAGCCUCAGGGAGGGCAGUGCUGGGCCGUGGCACUGCUCCGUCCCUCUAAUUUAUUAGCAGCUCGCAGCGCCCAACAAACAAGUUGGAGAAGUGACGUCUGUGGUUAAAAAAUAAAUCACUGGUUCUUCUUUGCUUCCA